rnacentral:rRNA from 1 species
AACGAACGCUGGCGGCAGGCUUAACACAUGCAAGUCGAACGCAUGCCUUCGGGCAUGAGUGGCAGACGGGUGAGUAACGCGUGGGAACCUACCCCUUGGUACGGGAUAGCUCCGGGAAACUGGAGAUAAUACCGUAUGUGUCCUGAGGGACAAAGAUUCAUCGCCAAGGGAUGGGCCCGCGUCGGAUUAGCUAGUUGGUGGGGUAACGGCCUACCAAGGCGACGAUCCGUAGCUGGUCUAAGAGGAUGAUCAGCCACAUUGGGACUGAGACACGGCCCAAACCCCUACGGGAGGAAGCAGGGGGGAAUAUUGGACAAGGGGCGCAAGCCUGAUCCAGCCAGGCCGGGUGGGUGAUGAAGGCCCGGGGGUUGUAAAGCUCUUUCACCGGUGACGAUAAGGACGGAAACCGGAGAAAAAGCCCCGGAUAACUUCGU